rnacentral:rRNA from 1 species
UGGCCUACGGGGCGCAGCAGUGGGGAGUAUUGCACAAUGGGGGAAACCCUGAUGCAGCGACGCCGCGUGAGCGAUGAAGUAUUUCGGUAUGUAAAGCUCUAUCAGCAGGGAAGAAAAUGACGGUACCUGACUAAGAAGCCCUGGCUAACUACGUGCCAGCAGCCGCGGUAAUACGUAGGGGGCAAGCGUUAUCCGGAUUUACUGGGUGUAAAGGGAGCGUAGACGGUCCUGCAAGCCAGAUGUGAAAGCCCGGGGCUCAACCCCGGGACUGCAUUUGCAACUGUA